UAACACCAGCCCCUCGAGUGGUGGGGAUGAUUAUUUGGUCUAAAGCGUCCGUAGCCGGCCUUGUAAGUUUCCCGUUAAAUCCAUCGUCUCAAGCGUUGGACUGCGGGAAAUACUGCUCGGCUAGAGAGUGGGAGAGGUCAACGGUAUUCCGGGGGUAGGGGCGAAAUCCUUUGAUCCCCGGAGGACCACCAGUGGCGAAGGCUGUUGACUAGAACACGUCUGACGGUCAGGGACGAAAGCUGGGGUAGCGAACCGGAUUAGAUACCCGGGUAGUCCCAGCCGUAAACGAUGCAUGCUAGGUGUUAGGUUGGCCACGUGCCACCCUAGUGCCGCAGGGAAGCCCUUAAGCAUGCCACCUGGGAAGUACGGCCGCAAGGCUG
rnacentral:rRNA from 1 species